rnacentral:rRNA from 1 species
CGGCGGUUAUGGCGAAGGGGAAACACCCGGUUACAUUCCGAACCCGGAAGUUAAGCUCUUCAGCGCCGAUGGUACUGCACUCGGGAGGGUGUGGGAGAGUAGGUCGCCGCCGGACA